CUAUGGUUUCCAGAAUUCUCUUGCCCAUAUGGUUCCAAGUUAGAGUCAGCCAAAAGAGAAAGUUCUGUGAGAUUUGGAAGGUGGAAGUGAAGUCAAAGCCAUUAUGAGCUUAAGAUCUUCAUGGUUACUAAUAGUGAGAGACAGUUACAGAUGCAUCCUUACUCUUGUUCACAUCUAGAUCUUCUUCACAAAUGUUGUCUCUAAACCAGAGAUUCUAGACUUAAAAGUAAAUGUAGAAUCAGGAGCCUUCCAUAUUAUUUUCCACUACCUUUUCUUUGUGAUUCUAUUCUGGAAGUUGGAUAUACCUGGUUUUCUGGAUUCCUUGAUAAACACCAGUUUGCCCACUUCAGAAAGAUACUUCUCUCCAGAGCAGGAGUAAUCAUACACAUAUAAGACAAAAUAGAUUUCAAGGCAACAACUAUAAAAAGAGACAAAGAAGAUGCUUCUUUCUGGUAUAGUGGACACUAUCUGAAAUGACAAAUGAUAUAUUUUAUAGGGAACAUGAGUUGGUGUCAAGGAGAUCUGCAGAAGUGGUAUAUGGAAAAACAUCUCCAAGUAUAUAAUGUGAAGAUAUCUGCAUCUUAUCUUCCCGUUCUGUCUGAUGGCCAAGAUCAUCCAUACCUCUUCAGUUAUGGAGACAGUAACCUGCAUAGACUUCUUGACCACCUUCCAUACUUACUAAGAGUUGGAUUCCCUGUAGUAAGUACCUUAUUCCAUAUUAUGUGUCAUAGUUUUGCUUCUCUCAUUGAACCCUUAGUGAUGUAGAGAGGUUUUCUUUUUAAUGGGUGUCUUUAGAUUACAGAUAGUGUGAAAUGAGGGUGACAGAAGUUGAGACCGAAGAGGUAAAUAUGAUAUAGGUAAUCAAACACCUCAUAUUUCAUGAUAAAUUUGUAUAAAUUUUGUACAAGGAGAAAGUGAUUAUUUCCAUUAUAAUGCUCAGGAGAAGGAAGUUAGAAGUGGGUAAAUUUGCAGGUAAGUGUCAAGCAUUUGGAAGAGUGCAUAUCUAUUUUCCCAAUGAGGUAGAAGGUAAUAAUUAGUGGCAAUUUUUUUCAGAGAAACAACACAGAAGUGGGACUGUGUAAUUUUGUUUUAGAUAGAACUAUGUUUAAAGUAUUUUCUAGUAUAAAGUAGGAAAUGAUUAAAUUAGAUUUA
rnacentral:lncRNA from 13 species